AGGGGACACUGGAGGAUGAACAGUAUUUCCUAGUUUAAUGUUUUUUUUUUUUUUUCUAGGCAGACUUUUGUAGUGCACAGUGACCGGUGACCAGCAGCAUGUGUUUCCAUAGGCAUCUUCUCUCAGUACCCCAGAAGGUGAAUUGCCAGUGAGUCCUGCCAGGAUGCCCCUCGGUGACUGCACCACCCAGUAAAAAGACAUCCCUUAACUAUGGCAAAACAACAACAACAACGACGACAAAAAACAAAACAAAACAAAACAAAACCCUGCAUCAAU
rnacentral:lncRNA from 1 species